rnacentral:rRNA from 1 species
CGCGCAGGCGGUUAAUUAAGUCGAAUGUGAAAGCCCCCGGCUCAACUGGGGAGGGUCAUUCGAUACUGAUCAACUUGAAGGCAGGAGAGGGUAGUGGAAUUCCCGGUGUAGUGGUGAAAUGCGUAGAUAUCGGGAGGAACACCAGUGGCGAAGGCGACUACCUGGCCUGUUCUUGACGCUGAGGCGCGAAAGCUGGGGGAGCAAACG